rnacentral:lncRNA from 1 species
GAAGCCUUCGCUGAUUGUACUCCCCACUGCAACAUCAAAUUUAACAACUAUGUACAGAAAAAAAAAUCACCUUCAAAAGAAUAAAAAAUCAGAUUUCAGAGAAUUAAUGGGACACAUGAGAUUUUCACAGUCCUGGCCCUGCAGUCAUCCAAUUGGAGAAUGAGCCAAUCCUCUUUCGCAAGGGCAGUUAUCCCAGACAAGUUCAUGUUCCAAGAAGCCAGAUCAGUGUUUCCGGAGACCGUGGCAGAUACUUGGUGGCAUUGGGGUGUUGCAUUGGACUGAAGCCUCUUCAGAACACUGAGGAUAUACCAAUUCAUUUUAGAAGCCUCCAAGUAACUCUGUAUUCCAUGAAGAUAGGAAUGGUGACUGUAAUGAAGUAUCCAAUAAUAGAGGACAAUUAAUGCUUACGAAACAAAUACAUGAAUCAAUGAGUAGAUGGAAGCUUCUGUAAGCAUCUACAACA